rnacentral:rRNA from 1 species
GAGUUUGAUCCUGGCUCAGGANGAACGCUGGCGGCGUGCNUAACACAUGCAAGUCGAAUGAGGUCCAGCCAACCUUCGGGGAGGCGAAGACCUAGUGGCGAACGGGUGCGUAACACGUGAGAAACCUGCCCCAGACUUGGGAAUAACAGUCGGAAACGGCUGCUAAUACCGAAUACCUUCGGAGCGUNGCAUGGCGCAUCGAAGAAAGCUUUUGCGGUUUGGGAGGGUCUCGCGGCCUAUCAGCUUGUUGGUGAGGUAACGGCUCACCAAGGCAUCGACGGGUAGCUGGUCUGAGAGGAUGAUCAGCCACACUGGGACUGAGACACGGCCCAGACUCCUACGGGAGGCAGCAGUGGGGAAUAUUGCACAAUGGGCGAAAGCCUGAUGCAGCAACGCCGCGUGCGGGAAGAAGGCCCUAGGGUUGUAAACCGCUUUCAGCAGGGAAGAAACUGACGGUACCUGCAGAAGAA